GCCUACUGCUCGUAACGCAUAUGGUAGGUAUGGUUACCAUGUAUCCGUACGGACUCAAGAGGUCCUAUCACCAGUAGACCUAGGUACCACUGCCCCGCUUAUUUCUGCCAUGAAGCAGUAUUGCGUUUCGGUUUGAAGUGGGGCAGCCGUUGUAACUAUACUGAGACUUUAGAAUAUAGAUCUCAAGGUGGGUGGCGCGUUUACGUUGUAGAUGUCUAUGGGCUCCAGUAACCACAUAACAUCAGGUGGGCUGUGAGUUCGUCCACCCAACUAAGCAAUAAAAAAAAAUCUACACCUCGCCACCACAAAAGUCUUUAAUCAGUGCAUUCUCCCCGCGAUGACCUAUGGCGCGGAAACCUGAACACUGACGGCGGGGAUCGCCCAUAAGCUGUUAAGAGUCGCACAGCGGGCGAUGGACAGAGCUAUGCUAUUUCUCUAAGGGACAAAAUCCGGAACGAAGAAAUUCGACGGAGAACCAAAGCCUAUGACAUAGCUGUUAAAGCUAGCAGGCUGAAGUGGCAAUGGGCGGGGCACAUCUGUCGAGCCAGCGACACCUGGUGGGGGAGGAAAGGCUUCGUAUGGAGGCCACGGAUAGGUACCAGGAGCGUAGAGCGUCUUCCAACCAGGUGGACCGACGACUUAGUGCGCACGGCGGGAAGUCGUCGACUGUGAAGUCAUAGGAUGGCCGGGUUGUGACAUAUAUAUAUAUUUUAUAGUAAAACGACGAGCUCUGCGUGUGACUUGUUUUAUUGGCGGAAGUAGUCUGACUGUAUUGCCAUAGAUUAGGUACAUUCUUUACCUGACAUCUCCCCUUUUAAGUUAAAGACUAAGCUUAUUUUUAAGGUAUCACGGUUUCUUUGGAGACUGGAACUACAGGUUUUAGUAUGUGCUCCCGAUUUCUCCUGAAUGUUCCUUCUGGGGACUGAAUAGUAUAACUACGAGGUUCGUUUUCUGUUUGUUUUAUACGACCUGGAACCCAUGAACUAUUGGGCUUGUGUUUGAAAUAUAUUUUAUCACCAACUUGUAAAUCUGACAAUUGUUUUGUGUGUUUAUUAUAAUAAAACGUUGAAUAUUC